rnacentral:lncRNA from 1 species
UUAAUGCAUAAGCAUAUAUAGGGUGGAACAUUUCAGCAUUAGUGGAAUUUUCAUAUUCUUUCUCUUUACUAAGGAGAGACAGUAGAUAUCAGAGACUUGGACAACGUACUAGGAAACAUGGGGAUGAACUUACCAAAGAAGAACUUGGAGAGCUGACAAGAAACCUUCCAGUUGAUGCUAAAGGGGAGACUGAUUUGAAAUCAUUGAUGGAUACAGUGCAAGUUAUUACAGGUUAGUAAGAAGUUAAUAUGAAUUUAAGAUCCUAAUAUUUUAAGCCAUAUUUUCUAUG